rnacentral:lncRNA from 1 species
AGAAAUGGAGUGAUCUGAUAAACAUUGACGGUCCUUCCGUCAAGAUUUGUCAGAGCUACGAGGGUACGCACCAUAGGUCCUGAAAGAAAGCACGUUUAAACCGUGUAAGAUUGGUCCCCAGCGCACAAUGAGAAAAACUUCACCGAGUGGCUGACAGGCCGCCCGGCCGCCGAGGAGCGUGAUAAGUUGCGGUGACGGGAGACAGCGUGCGACAGCUAAAUUAAUAUAGUUUGAGUCUGCAAACAAUCUAUGAGCCCAGACAUGCGUGUUCUGACCCGUCUCUAUUGCGCGAAAUGCCUUUGGUUGCAAAAAGUCACGCCAUACGCGUGCGGCGGCAGUGCGCUCCGUAGGGAGUGAGAUACGUAAUGGCGGACGCAGUAUCAGACGACGCGGUUGUCCCCACCCUGUAAGGAGCGCG